GGAAAAGAAACCAACAGGGAUUGCCUCAGUAACGGCGAGUGAAGCGGCAAAAGCUCAAAUUUGAAAUCUAGCACCUUCGGUGUUUGAGUUGUAAUUUGAAGAUGGUAACCUUGGGUUUGGCUCUUGUCUAUGUUCCUUGGAACAGGACGUCAUAGAGGGUGAGAAUCCCGUCUGAUGAGAUGCCCAUUCCUAUGUAAGGUGCUAUCGAAGAGUCGAGUUGUUUGGGAAUGCAGCUCUAAGUGGGUGGUAAAUUCCAUCUAAAGCUAAAUAUUGGCGAGAGACCGAUAGCGAACAAGUACAGUGAUGGAAAGAUGAAAAGAACUUUGAAAAGAGAGUGAAAAAGUACGUGAAAUUGUUGAAAGGGAAGGGCAUUAGAUCAGACUUGGUGUUUUACGAUUAUCUUCUCUUCUUGAGUUGUGCACUCGUAUUUCACUGGGCCAGCAUCGAUUCGGAUGGCAAGAUAAUGGCAGUUGAAUGUGGCUUCACUUCGGUGGAGUGUUAUAGCUUCUGCUGAUAUUGCCUGUCUGGAUCGAGGGCUGCGUCUUUUGACUAGGAUGCUGGCGUAAUGAUCUAAUGCCGCCCGUCUU
rnacentral:rRNA from 1 species